rnacentral:misc_RNA from 1 species
AAGAGAGCUGCCCAUCGGUUCUCACUGAACUACUAGAAUAUGUAGCAAGGGUGACGGAGCAUGCAGUAAUUACUUGCAGCGGGUAUGGAAAUGGAACGGUGUUAGACGGUAGUUAUGUGAAUGGAAGACGGGUAAGGCAGAGGUUGUAUUGAUCUGAUCAUCAUCAAUGCUGUUUACUAACGCCAAUCCUCCAACCAUUUGUCGUCAAGAAUAAGAUAGUAGAGAGAAAGCAAUGUGCAGAGGUCGUUAUGAUUUAAAACUUGGUCAGUCUGUAA